UGCUUCAUCGAUUCUCCUUCAAGUUGGGAAGAACUCACCUCCUCCGAUACAAACAGUGGAGUACUCGGGACCAUCCCUUAGCUACUAUAUCAACAAGCUUAAGCCCGCGGAAAUAGUCCAAGCUUCAGUAACCGAGGCACCAACUGCACCUGAAGUUGAAGAUGUUCAAGCUUCAGUAGCACCAGGAACCGAAGCACCAAAUGCACCAGAAGUUGAAAGCUCUGCUCCCCAAGUUGAGGUCCAAUCCGAAGCCCCUCAGGACACUUCAAGUCCUAACAUCUCUUAGGACAAAUCGUUUUGUUUACUUGUAUAUUUUAUUUGUAGAUGACCUAGUACACAUAUUUCAGUAAGUUUUU
rnacentral:lncRNA from 1 species